GGGGGUAAAAUUAAUAAAUAUAAUAAAAAUAAUAAAAAAAAUUUUAGUUAAAAAUAUAUAAUGGGGGUUAAAGUAUUUUUAAUGGAAAAAAUUAAUAGAUUUAUAGUAUAAUAGUAUUGUGAAAGAAAUUUUAAAUAAAUUAAAUAUAAAAAUUAAAAUAAAGUAAAUUUAAAUUAUUGUAUCUUGUGUAUCAGAGUUUAUUAAAUAAAAAUUUUUAUUUAAAAAAUUCUCGAAUUUAAAAGAGUUAAUUAAUUAAAAAAGUUAAUGUUGAAUAAUUAUUUUAAAUAAUUAAUUAGAAAUGAAAUGUUAAUCGUUUUUAAAUAUAUCUAGUUUUUUUAGAAAAAAAUUUAAUUUUGAAAUUAAAUAAUUUUAUAAUUAAUUAAUUAAUUAUUAAAAAUUUAAAAUUUAAUAUAUUAAGGGAUAAGCUUUAAAUUAAAAAAUUAUAAUUAUUGAUUAUUAAUUAAAAUUUUUAAAAUUUAUAUUGUUUAAAAAUUAUAAUUUAUUAUAAAAAAUUUUAAUUAAAUUAAAAUUUAAAAAUAAAAUUUAAUUUUUUAUAAAAAAAUUAUUUUUAAUAAUAAAGAAUUAGAAAUAAUGAUAAAAUUAGUAUAUUAUAAAUUAAAAAUUAUAAAUUUAAUAAAAAUUAAAUUAAAGGAAUUCGGCAAAAAUUUAUAUUCACUUGUUUAUCAAAAACAUGUCUUUUUGGUUAUAAUUUAAAGUCUAAUCUGCCCACUGAUAAUAAUUAAAGGGCUGCAGUAUAUUGACUGUACAAAGGUAGCAUAAUCAUUAGUCUUUUAAUUGAAGACUUGUAUGAAAGAUUUAAUGAAAUAUAAGCUGUCUCUAAUUUAUUAAUAAAAUUUAAUAUUUUAGUUAAAAAGCUAAAAUAAAAUUAAAAGACGAGAAGACCCUAUAGAGUUUUAUAUUUAAUUUAAUUAAAAUAAAAUAUAAAAUUAAGUUAUUUAAAUUAAAUUAAUUAUUAUAUUGGGGUGAUAAAAAAAUUAAAAAAACUUUUUUUUUUAUUAAACAUAAAUAAAUGAUUAAAUGAUCCAUAAUUUAUGAUUAUAAGAAAAAAUUACCUUAGGGAUAACAGCGUAAUAUUUUUUUUUAGUACAUAUAAAAAAAAAAGUUUGCGACCUCGAUGUUGGAUUAAGAUAAAAGUUAAAUGCAAAAGUUUAAAUUUUUGAUCUGUUCGAUCAUUAAAAUCUUACAUGAUCUGAGUUCAAACCGGUGUAAGCCAGGUUGGUUUCUAUCUUUAAUAAAUUAUAAUAUUUUAGUACGAAAGGAUCAAAUAUUAAGAAUAAUUUUAAUUAAAUUGAAUUUUAUUAAUAGUUUUAUA
rnacentral:rRNA from 1 species